UCCUGUCUCAGCAGGAGGGGCAGGCGGGCAGCCCAGGAAAGCAGAGGUCCGGCGACACCCCGCGGCUGGUCAGCCAGACAGCAGCCCCUGGCCCUCCCCAGGUCCUGGCCCCCAGCCCUCCUCGAGCAGCGACACUGCCCGCGCACUCACCCAGAAGAGCAGGUUGAAGGCGAACAUGAGGGACGCCCUGGAUGCCCUGGGCCUGAAGCGCUACUGUUGCCGCCGAAUGCUGCUGGCACACGUGGACCUGAUUGAGAAGUUGCUCAACUACGCACCACUGGAGAAGUAGCCAUGGAGCUGCAUUCCUGCUCUACUGAUAUGGACAGUGUCACGCCAAGUUCAUCAAGCUGAGGUGUCUGUGGGUGGCAACAAUGCAUGGCCUCAGCCACAUGCCCCCCAUGCUGGAAGGAAAGUUCAGUAAAGGUCUUAAGAAUUA